rnacentral:rRNA from 1 species
UACGUAGGGGGCGAGCGUUGUCCGGAGUUACUGGGCGUAAAGGGCUCGUAGGCGGCCAACUAAGUCAGACGUGAAAUCCCUCGGCUUAACCGGGGAACUGCGUCUGAUACUGGAUGGCUGGAGUUUGGGAGAGGGAUGCGGAAUUCCAGGUGUAGCGGUGAAAUGCGUAGAUAUCUGGAGGAACACCGGUGGCGAAGGCGGCAUCCUGGACCAUUACUGACGCUGAGGAGCGAAAGCCAGGGGAGCAAACGGG